GUUAGUAGUCCACGAGGGGUGUUAGUAGGGGUGUUAGUAGUCCACGAGGGGUGUUAGUAGUCCACGAGGGGUGUUAGUAGUCCACGAGGGGUGUUAGUAGUCCAUGAUGGAUAUUAGUAGUCCACGAGGGGUGUUAGUAGUCCACAAGGGGUGCUAGUAGUCCAUGAUGGACAUGAACCCAGCUAACAAUUCUAGGGAGAAAUAACGUUUUUAUAAUGUUCCCCGCAAUGUUCCCCUUUUGUUUGAGUGUCCAGUUCUCUGUUAGUUAGGGGAAAAUUCUAUCUAUGUUAACAGAAACCUUCUGAGAACCUUUAUAGAAUGUUUUGGUGUUACAAUUUGACAUGAACAUUCCCUUAAUGUAAAACAGAACUUAUCAAGAACAUGGUUACAAUGUUCUCAGAAUGUACAAUAUUUAUGUUCUAGAAACGUUUCAUGUGUAUCAGUUGUCGCCAUUCCCAAAGAAAUGUCUCCCCCCCAAAAAAUAAAAUUCAUUACACAUCACACCUUGUUACUGUUGCCACGCCCAUCAAGGCCCUGAUUGGCAAAGCACUGACGCAUUCAUAGCUCUUUGCCUGUCGGUUAGCGACACUCACACACAGUUCUUUUGACAUACAGUAUUUUCAACUGACAUAUUCGACAUACAUGAUUACAUUCUGCAUUUUUAUUUAUCCGAAAAUGAUUGUUCAACAUGUCCUCUCCUGGGAUUUGAAAUCACAACUGCUUGGUUUGCAGGACUCCGAUGUUCCUGCUACGCCACCAUGUCUGUGUAAGUUGUCAGUUCAUUUGACUGUAAUUACGCUGUGUGAUUAAGAACUUCCUGGACAUUGUGGAGAUGCAUAAUAUAUCUUAUUUACUUUUUAUUUCGAGAAUCAGCUUUAAUUUAAGGCCACUUGAAGUGCAAAUGCCGAACAAUUGUGGUAAAUCUCUGGUAAUGCUCCAAAGCCUCUUGGGACAGCUUUAUGUAGAGGCCCUAACAGCUUUAUGUAGAGGCCCUAACAGCUUUAUGUAGAGGCCCUAACAGCUUUAUGUAGAGGCCCUAACAGCUUUAUGUAGAGGCCCUAACAGCUUAAUGUAGAGGCCCUAACAGCUUUAUGUAGAGGCCCUAACAGCUUUAUGUAGAGGCCCUAACAGCUUUAUGGAGGCCCUAACAGCUUUAUGUAGAGACCCUAACAGCUUUAUGUAGAGGCCCUAACAGCUUUAUGUAGAGGCCCUAAAAGCUUUAUGUAGAGGCCCUAACAGCUUUAUGUAGAGGCCCUAACAGUUUUAUGUAGAGGCCCUAACAGCUUUAUGUAGAGGCCCUAACAGCUUUAUGUAGAGGCCCUAACAGCUUAAUGUAGAGGCCCUAACAGCUUUAUGUAGAGGCCCUAACAGCUUUAUGUAGAGGCCCUAACAGUUUGUCACCAUUAUAGUGUAAUUCAUGUAUUGUUUAGUGUUGUGUUGUGUAGUGGCUUUGCUGGCAUGCAUCUAAAACAUUUUUGGGGAGUUUGCCCCACCAAGAUUUACACUGAUUUAGCAUGUAUAUUAAACUAUGGUGAAUCGCUGUAUGGUAAUGUUUCAAUGCUGUAUGUCCCAUCAGUGCCACGUCUGUUUGGAGCCCCACCUGUUUAGCAAAACAAUAUAUAUGUUUUGCCUUUUUUUUAAUGUUAUUUUAUCACAUAUCAGUUUGCAAACAAUGUACAAAAAAAAAAGUUAAUAAAGAC
rnacentral:lncRNA from 1 species